CGAGGACGAACGCUGGCGGCGUGCCUAACACAUGCAAGUCGAACGGGGUGUUCCUUCGGGAACACUUAGUGGCGAACGGGUGAGUAACGCGUGAGAAACCUGCCUUUCAGUGGGGGACAACAGUUGGAAACGACUGCUAAUACCGCAUAAUGUUAUUUGGGGGCAUCCCCGAAUAACCAAAGAUUUAUUGCUGAAAGAUGGUCUCGCGUCUGAUUAGCUAGUUGUGGGGUAACGGCUCACCAAGGCGACGAUCAGUAGCCGGUCUGAGAGGAUGAACGGCCACAUUGGGACUGAGAUACGGCCCAGACUCCUACGGGAGGCAGCAGUGGGGAAUAUUGGGCAAUGGGGGAAACCCUGACCCAGCAACGCCGCGUGAAGGAAGAAGGCCUUCGGGUUGUAAACUUCUUUUACCAGGGACGAAGAACGUGACGGUACCUGGAGAAAAAGCAACGGCUAACUACGUG
rnacentral:rRNA from 1 species